rnacentral:rRNA from 1 species
CAUUCGAGUGGCGGACGGGUGAGUAACGCGUGGGUAACCUGCCUUACACAGGGGGAUAACACCUGGAAACAGGUGCUAAUACCGCAUAAGCGCACAGGGCCGCAUGGCCCGGUGUGAAAAAACUCCGGUGGUGUAAGAUGGACCCGCGUCUGAUUAGCUUGUUGGCGGGGUAGGGGCCCACCAAGGCGACGAUCAGUAGCCGGCCUGAGAGGGUGGACGGCCACAUUGGGACUGAGACACGGCCCAAACUCCUACGGGAGGCAGCAG